rnacentral:rRNA from 1 species
GAGUUUGAUCCUGGCUCAGAACGAACGCUGGCGGCGCGCCUAACACAUGCAAGCCGAGCGAGAAAGGGACCUUCGGGUCCCGAGUACAGCGGCGAACGGGUGAGUAACACGUGAGUGACGUGCCUCCGAGCGGGGGAUAACCUUCCGAAAGGGAGGUUAAUACCGCAUAAAACUACAAAACUACAAAACCCCGUGGUCAACGGCCCUUUGGGUCGCUCGGAGAUCGGCUCGCGGUCCAUUAGGUAGCUGGUGGGGUAACGGCUCACCAGGCCGAAGAUGGGUAGCUGGUCUGAGAGGACGAUCAGUCACACUGGGACUGAGACACGGCCCAGACUCCUACGGGAGGCAGCAGUGGGGAAUCUUGCGCAAUGGGUGCAAGCCUGACGCAGCGACGCCGCGUGUGUGACGAAGGCCUUCGGGUCGUAAAGCACUGUCAGGUGGGAAGAAAACAUGCGUAUAAAUUACGCGUGUGUGACUACGCCAAGAAGCACCGGCCAACUCCGUGCCAGCAGCCACGAUAAAAC